CCUACGGGAGGCAGCAGUGAGGAAUAUUGGUCAAUGGUCGGGAGACUGAACCAGCCAAGCCGCGUGAGGGAUGAAGGUACAGAGUAUCGUAAACCUCUUUUGUCAGGGAACAAAGGCGGGGACGUGUCCCCGGAUGAGUGUACCUGAAGAAAAAGCAUCGGCUAACUCCGUGCCAGCAGCCGCGGUAAUACGGAGGAUGCGAGCGUUACUCGGAAUCACUGGGCGUAAAGAGCGCGCAGGCGGGCUUGUAAGUCAGAUGUGAAAUCCUGUAGCUUAACUACAGAACUGCAUUUGAAACUAUGGGUCUAGAGUGUGGGAGAGGUAGGUGGAAUGCGUGGUGUAGGGGUAAAAUCCGUAGAUAUCAAGAGGAAUACUCAUUGCGAAGGCGACCUACUGGAACAUUACUGACGCUCAUGCACGAAAGCGUGGGGAGCGAACAGGAUUAGAUACCCGGGUAGUC
rnacentral:rRNA from 1 species